UAGGCAAAAUGGUACCGUAACUUCGGGAGAAGGUACGCUCUUGAUGGUGAAGUCCCUUGCGGAUGGAGCUGACGAGAGUCGCAGAUACCAGGUGGCUGCAACUGUUUAUUAAAAACACAGCACUGUGCAAAAUCGUAAGAUGACGUAUACGGUGUGACGCCUGCCCGGUGCCGGAAGGUUAAUUGAUGGGGUUAGACUUCGGUCGAAGCUCUUGAUCGAAGCCCCGGUAAACGGCGGCCGUAACUAUAACGGUCCUAAGGUAGCGAAAUUCCUUGUCGGGUAAGUUCCGACCUGCACGAAUGGCGUAAUGAUGGCCACGCUGUCUCCACCCGAGACUCAGUGAAAUUGAAAUCGCUGUGAAGAUGCAGUGUACCCGCGGCUAGACGGAAAGACCCCGUGAACCUUUACUACAGCUUGGCACUGAACAUUGACCCUACAUGUGUAGGAUAGGUGGGAGGCUUUGAAGCACGUACGCCAGUAUGUGUGGAGCCGUCCUUGAAAUACCACCCUUGUAGUGUUGAUGUUCUAACGUCGACCCCUUAUCGGGGUUGCGGACAGUGCCUGGUGGGUAGUUUGACUGGGGCGGUCUCCUCCCAAAGAGUAACGGAGGAGCACGAAGGUGGGCUAAUCACGGUUGGACAUCGUGAGGUUAGUGCAAUGGCAUAAGCCCGCUUGACUGCGAGAAUGACAAUUCGAGCAGGUGCGAAAGCAGGUCAUAGUGAUCCGGUGGUUCUGAAUGGAAGGGCCAUCGCUCAACGGAUAAAAGGUACUCCGGGGAUAACAGGCUGAUACCGCCCAAGAGUUCAUAUCGACGGCGGUGUUUGGCACCUCGAUGUCGGCUCAUCACAUCCUGGGGCUGAAGUCGGUCCCAAGGGUAUGGCUGUUCGCCAUUUAAAGUGGUACGCGAGCUGGGUUUAGAACGUCGUGAGACAGUUCGGUCCCUAUCUGCCGUGGGCGUUGGAAGAUUGAAGGGGGCUGCUCCUAGUACGAGAGGACCGGAGUGGACGAACCUCUGGUGUUCGGGUUGUGUCGCCAGACGCAUUGCCCGGUAGCUAAGUUCGGAAUCGAUAACCGCUGAAAGCAUCUAAGCGGGAAGCGAGCCCUGAGAUGAGUCUUCCCUGAUACUUUAAGUAUCCUAAAGGGUUGUCGGAGACUACGACGUUGAUAGGUCAGGUGUGUAAGUGCUGUGAGGCAUUGAGCUAACUGAUACUAAUUGCCCGUGAGGCUUAACCAUACAACACCCAAGGGGUUU
rnacentral:rRNA from 1 species